rnacentral:tRNA from 1 species
GGAGAGGUGGCCGAGUCUGGUCAAAGGCGCGGUCCUGCUAAGGCCGAGAUCCUGGGCAACCGGGAUCCGCGGGUUCGAAUCCCGCCCUCUCCGCCA